rnacentral:rRNA from 1 species
CUAAGGCGAGGCCGACAGGCGUAGUCGAUGGACAACCAGUUGAUAUUCUGGUACCCGGAUGGAAGCGCCCGUGGUGAAUCAGUGAUACUAACCGCCCUGAAGCCUGAUGGCAGUCUUUUGGAUUGUUGUUGGUGUGGAUGCGUGGGAUCUGAUCUGGUAGUAGCCAAGCGAUGGUGUGACACAGGAAGGUAGCCGAGCCACUGAGUGGAUUGUGGUGUAAGCGUGUAGCCCGCAUGGUAGGUAAAUCCGCUGUGCAUGGUGGGUGAGGCGUGAUGCGUACCCCUUUGUUGGGGGAUGUUGGUGAUCCUAUGCUGUCGAGAAAAGCAUCUAGCGAUGUUUCCAUCUGGCCCGUACCCCAAACCGACACAGGUGGUCAGGUAGAGAAUACUAAGGCGAUCGGGUGAACUGUGGUUAAGGAACUCGGCAAAAUGCCCCCGUAACUUCGGGAGAAGGGGGACCACUGCUGGUGACAGACUGGUUUUGAGCUGGUGGUGGUCGCAGAGAAUAGAGGGAAGCGACUGUUUACUAAAAACACAGGUCCAUGCGAAGACGAUAAGUCGAUGUAUAUGGACUGACGCCUGCCCGGUGCUGGAAGGUUAAGAGGACCUGUUAGUCACUUUGGUGGCGAAGCGGAGAAUUUAAGCCCCAGUAAACGGCGGUGGUAACUAUAACCAUCCUAAGGUAGCGAAAUUCCUUGUCGGGUAAGUUCCGACCUGCACGAAUGGCGUAACGACUUCCCUGCUGUCUCAACCACAGGCCCGGCGAAAUUGCAGUACGAGUAAAGAUGCUCGUUACGCGCGGCAGGACGAAAAGACCCCGGGACCUUCACUAUAGCUUGGUAUUGAUAUUCGGUUCGGUUUGUGUAGGAUAGGUGGGAGACUGUGAUCACAUGACGCCAGUUGUGUGGGAGUCGUUGUUGAAAUACCACUCUGGUCGUAUUGGAUAUCUUAACCUCGGCCCAUGAUCUGGGUUAGGGACAGUGCCUGGUGGGUAGUUUAACUGGGGCGGUUGCCUCCUAAAGAGUAACGGAGGCGCCCAAAGGUUUCCUCAGCCUGGUUGGCAAUCAGGUGGUGAGUGUAAGUGCACAAGGGAGCUUGACUGUGAGACUGACAGGUCGAGCAGGUACGAAAGUAGGGACUAGUGAUCCGGCACUGGCUUGUGGAAGCGGUGUCGCUCAACGGAUAAAAGGUACCCCGGGGAUAACAGGCUGAUCUUCCCCAAGAGUCCAUAUCGACGGGAUGGUUUGGCACCUCGAUGUCGGCUCGUCGCAUCCUGGGGCUGGAGUAGGUCCCAAGGGUUGGGCUGUUCGCCCAUUAAAGCGGCACGCGAGCUGGGUUUAGAACGUCGUGAGACAGUUCGGUCUCUAUCCGCCGCGCGCGUAGAAACUUGAGAAAGGCUGUCCCUAGUACGAGAGGACCGGGACGGACGUACCUCUAGUGUGCCAGUUGUCACGCCCGUGGCAUGGCUGGUUGGCUACGUACGGAAGGGAUAACCGCUGAAAGCAUCUAAGCGGGAAGCCUGUUUCGAGAUAAGGUUUCGUGAUCAGGUGCCCUCUAGACUAGGGGGUUGAUAGGCCAGAGCUGGAAGCGUAGUAAUGCGUGUUGAGGUGACUGGUACUAAUGCGCCGAACACACCAAAA